CUACCAUCUAAAUUGGUAAUUUUCAUGUUUUUGGCCUUCUAGUAGAUUAUAUGAACUGUGUAAGCUUGUUCCUAAGGCAUGUAGUUAAGAAUUUUGCUCGUAAUAUCGCAAGUAGCUAGACCAUCAACACAUGAUUCGUAUGAGUACAAAAGUGUUCAUAAUAAUAUCAGAUCAUACAUCAAGCUGAUCAUCAACUCAUAUUUUUCCCCUUAAUUAUGACCACUUGGUCUUUUUAUAGAUCCACUUCAGAGGAUUACAAAUAUAGUACUAUUACUAUAUACUUGACUUUAAGUUGCUUUUUAGAGCAAUUAUUUAAGUUCUUGAUAUCAAGCAGAACAAUCCAUACAUAUUAACGUGAAAUGGACGUAGGUCGUUUCAAUUAGUAUGGACUUUCGCCUCUAUAAUUACCUGGAGGAUCAUAGUUGCAAGAGACAACAUAUCCUCCAUUGUUACACUGAACCCUAGCACAUCCAACACGAACCGAGUUACGCCAAACCACCUGAGUAUAGUGUCCACACACCUGUCCUUGUGCACAAGUAUUUGAGUCAUGGUCAUAAUACUGUUUCUCAUCGACCCACAUCUCAACGGCCUUAGCAGCCGUCAUGAAAUCGCCACUUCCCUCAGCUAGGUUUUCGCCGUAUUGACCAUGAGAAUGUACGAGGUUACAAUCUGCAGC
rnacentral:lncRNA from 1 species